CCUACGGGGGGCAGCAGUCGAGAAUCAUUCACAAUGGGGGAAACCCUGAUGGUGCGACGCCGCGUGGGGGAAUGAAGGUCUUCGGAUUGUAAACCCCUGUCAUGUGGGAGCAAAUUAAAAAGAUAGUACCACAAGAGGAAGAGACGGCUAACUCUGUGCCAGCAGCCGCGGUAAUACAGAGGUCUCAAGCGUUGUUCGGAAUCACUGGGCGUAAAGCGUGCGUAGGCUGUUUCGUAAGUCGUGUGUGAAAGGCGCGGGCUCAACCCGCGGACGGCACAUGAUACUGCGAGACUAGAGUAAGGGAGGGGGAACCGGAAUUCUCGGUGUAGCAGUGAAAUGCGUAGAGAUCGAGAGGAACACUCGUGGCGAAGGCGGGUUCCUGGACAUUAACUGACGCUGAGGCACGAAGGCCAGGGGAGCGAAAGGGAUUAGAUACCCUUGUAGUC
rnacentral:rRNA from 1 species